rnacentral:snRNA from 11 species
NNNNUUUCCCAGGAUGAGGCUCACCCAUUGUACUUGGGAUGGGCUGAUCCCUGCGAUUUUCCCAAAUGCAGGAAAUUCAACUGCAUAAUUUGUGGUAGUGGGGGUCUGCCUUUGUACUCUUCCCAU